AGAAUCUGCCUAGAGGAUGGGGACAACCACGGGAAACUGUGGCUAAUACCCAAUGAGCGGAGACGUUAAAGAUUUAUCGCCUCUAGAGGAGCUCGCGUCUGAUUAGCUAGUUGGUGGGGUAAAAGCCUACCAAGGCGACGAUCAGUAGCUGGUCUGAGAGGACAACCAGCCACACUGGGACUGAGACACGGCCCAGACUCCUACGGGAGGCAGCAGUGGGGAAUUUUCCGCAAUGGGCGAAAGCCUGACGGAGCAAUACCGCGUGAGGGAGGAAGGCUCUUGGGUCGUAAACCUCUUUUCUCAGGGAAGAAGAAAGUGACGGUACCUGAGGAAUCAGCCUCGGCUAACUCCGUGCCAGCAGCCGCGGUAAUACGGAGGAGGCAAGCGUUAUCCGGAAUUAUUGGGCGUAAAGCGUCCGUAGGUGGCUCUUCAAGUCUGCUGUCAAAGAGUGGGGCUUAACUCCAGAAAGGCAGUGGAAACUGAAAGGCUAGAGAGCCGUAGGGGUAGAGGGAAUUCCCGGUGUAGCGGUGAAAUGCGUAGAGAUCGGGAAGAACAUCGGUGGCGAAAGCGCUCUACUGGACGGUAUCUGACACUGAGGGACGAAAGCUAGGGGAGCGAAUGGGAUUAGAUACCCCAGUAGUC
rnacentral:rRNA from 1 species